GGGAGGGGAUAGAGAAGAUGGGAAAAACUAAUUAAGAUUUCUAUAAUAAUACUUGGAUACUUUCUUCCGUAAUCUCCGCCGCUUUUAUUCCAAAAAAAAAGUUAUUAAUGGAAUAUCAGCAAGGGUGAGAACGAAAAGAAUAUGAUAGUCUAUUAUUAAGGAAAAGAUGCAACAACUUAUUCCAUGUCAGCAUUUUCGAAGUGAGUCAACUCCUCAUUGUGUAGACAUGCAAUUGGUUUUAUUUCAAACUUUACUGAGGGAAUUUCAAGAUGUUUAAGUAACAAAUAUUGGUAUUUAUUCAAAGGGUUGCCUUUCUCGCAUAUGAUAACUUUUCCCUGAUCAGAGCCAAGAAGAGUUGGCUUAAGCUGAGGAAAUUGCUUUCUCAUAUAAAAUUCUGCAUUUUUGUAUAAACAUUCUAACUCUGUGUUUGGUUCAACAACGCAAGUAAUGUCAGAUAGUGAACCUUCUCUACCAAAUUCCAUCGUAGAACUUUCUUCCAGUACCUUGUUUAAGUUACUAGGAGCCAAGUCUGUAAAUAUAAGACCUCUUUCCCCGCGAAGAAAAGAAGAGAUUUUAUGAGCAUUCUUUGCAGACUCUGAAUCUGAGUCUGCACCAAAUGCGACCUGAAGAAGUUUGUUUUUCCCAACUAAUAACUUUCCAGGUUCAAGCCUAACUCUAAGUUGUUUUAAAGCAGCAUUUCUUUGGUUCUUCAGCUUAACAACAUAAAUAAACUUGAAUUUACCAAUGUACUCAUGUACGUUUUCGAUUAUUUCUGACUUGUCCUUUCUCUUCUUCUUCAGAUCCUUGGUCAUAAGGACCUUCUUUACUCUCUUUGAUUUUGCCAUCUUCUUUUAACCUACUUUCUUUUUUCCUCCC
rnacentral:antisense_RNA from 1 species